rnacentral:tRNA from 1 species
GCCCCCAUGGUGUAGCGGCCUAGCACGCCACCCUUUCAAGGUGGAGAUCAGGGGUUCGAAUCCCCUUGGGGGCA